AAUCACUCCUAUUGACCCCCUGGCAUAUUUAUAGCCUCUCUCUUUCUGCUGAGACUGGUAGUUUUCACCUUCCCUUCCCUGUGUUGUGUUUAUUCAGCAGCACGCUAAAUCACACCCGGGCACAAGUGGAGCAUUCAUCAGGAACCACGAGCCCCUCUUUCAGUCUGCCAAACCUAUCCAAUUACUGGGGCUGGAAGAGCCUGCACAAACCCUUCUGCCAGGUACUAUGAUCAUCCCUAAUUAUUUCGUCCACUUCAACUCUCCCCAGCUCUGAACGUUCCUUAAUUCCUGGAUGUGACUUCCAAUUAAUUUUGACCCAGGCAGUAUAUUCUACAAUGCUUGACUUCAGGGCUACACUUUCCAGAAAGACCUCAAAUCAGACUUUCA
rnacentral:lncRNA from 1 species